UGCAGACACAACCUCCAGAGUGAACAUGUA
rnacentral:piRNA from 1 species